GCCCGGAUGGCGGAACUGGUAGACGCAACGGACUUAAAAUCCGUCGGCCGCGAGGCCAUCCGGGUUCGAUUCCCGGUCCGGGCA
rnacentral:tRNA from 1 species